UACGAAGGGGGCUAGCGUUGUUCGGAAUUACUGGGCGUAAAGCGCGCGCAGGCGGCUUCUCAAGUCAGGGGUGAAAGCCCAGAGCUUAACUCUGGAAUUGCCUUUGAGACUGAGAGGCUUGAGUACGGGAGAGGUGAGUGGAAUUCCCAGUGUAGAGGUGAAAUUCGUAGAUAUUGGGAAGAACACCGGUGGCGAAGGCGGCUCACUGGCCCGUAACUGACGCUCAUGCACGACAGCGUGGGGAUCAAACAGG
rnacentral:rRNA from 1 species